rnacentral:rRNA from 1 species
UACGUAGGGUGCAAGCGUUGUCCGGAAUUAUUGGGCGUAAAGAGCUCGUAGGCGGUUUGUCGCGUCUGCUGUGAAAACUCGGGGCUUAACUCCGGGCCUGCAGUGGGUACGGGCAGACUAGAGUGCGGUAGGGGAGACUGGAAUUCCUGGUGUAGCGGUGAAAUGCGCAGAUAUCAGGAGGAACACCGGUGGCGAAGGCGGGUCUCUGGGCCGUAACUGACGCUGAGGAGCGAAAGCAUGGGUAGCAAACAGG